GAUGAAGAACGCAGCGAAAUGCGAUAAGUAAUGUGAAUUGCAGAAUUCAGUGAAUCAUCGAAUCUUUGAACGCACAUUGCGCCCGCCAGUAUUCUGGCGGGCAUGCCUGUUCGAGCGUCAUUUCAACCAUCAAGCCCCCGGCUUGUGUUGGGGACCUGCGGCUGCCGCAGGCCCUGAAAACCAGUGGCGGGCUCGCUGUCACACCGAGUGCAGUAGUUUACUCUUCGCUCAGGGCGUGUGGCGGGUGCUAGCCGUAAAACCCCCAACUUCUCAAGGUUGACCUCGGAUCAGGUAGGAAUACCCGCUGAACUUAAGCAUAUCAAUAAGCGGAGGA
rnacentral:misc_RNA from 1 species